rnacentral:rRNA from 1 species
GAGUUUGAUCAUGGCUCAGAACGAACGCUGGCGGCGUGCCUAACACAUGCAAGUCGAACGGACUUUAUUUCUUCGGAUUUAAAGUUAGUGGCGCACGGGUGAGUAACGCGUGGAUAUCUGCCUAUUAGUGGGGGACAACUUGGAGAAAUCCAAGCUAAUACCGCAUACGCACUACGGUGGAAAGCAGGGGACCUUCGGGCCUUGUGCUGAUAGAUGAGUCCGCGUCUGAUUAGCUAGUUGGUAAGGUAAUGGCUUACCAAGGCGAUGAUCAGUAACUGGUUUGAGAGGAUGAUCAGUCACACUGGAACUGAGACACGGUCCAGACUUCUACGGAAGGCGGCAGUGGGGAAUAUUGCACAAUGGGCGAAAGCCUGAUGCAGCGACGCCGCGUGCGGGAAGAAGGCCUUCGGGUUGUAAACCGCUUUCAAUUGGGAAGAAGAGAUGAGCGCUAAUAUCGCUCUGAUUUGACGGUACCUUUAGAAGAAGCACCGGCUAAUUUCGUGCCAGCAGCCGCGGUAAUACGAAAGGUGCAAGCGUUGUUCGGAUUUACUGGGCGUAAAGAGAUCGUAGGUGGUUUGUUAAGUCGGAUGUGAAAUCCCAAGGCUCAACCUUGGAACUGCAUUCGAUACUGGCAGGCUAGAGUUUGGG